UACGGGGGGGCAAGCGUUGUUCGGAAUUACUGGCGUAAAGGGCUCGUAGGCGGCCAACUAAGUCAGACGUGAAAUCCCUCGGCUUAACCGGGGAACUGCGUCUGAUACUGGAUGGCUUGAGUUCGGGAGAGGGAUGCGGAAUUCCAGGUGUAGCGGUGAAAUGCGUAGAUAUCUGGAGGAACACCGGUGGCGAAGGCGGCAUCCUGGACCGAUACUGACGCUGAGGAGCGAAAGCCAGGGGAGCAAAGCGGG
rnacentral:rRNA from 1 species